UACGAAGGGGGCUAGCGUUGCUCGGAAUCACUGGGCGUAAAGCGCACGUAGGCGGCUUGUUAAGUCAGGGGUGAAAUCCUGGAGCUCAACUCCAGAACUGCCUUUGAUACUGGCGAGCUUGGGUCCGGGAGAGGUGAGUGGAACUCCGAGUGUAGAGGUGAAAUUCGUAGAUAUUCGGAAGAACACCAGUGGCGAAGGCGGCUCACUGGCCCGGUACUGACGCUGAGGUGCGAAAGCGUGGGGAGCAAACAGG
rnacentral:rRNA from 1 species